GGCCGGGCUUCCUGCUCCAGUCCUAGGAAAGCCGCCGGCCUGGGCGCCGGCCUGGUCUCCAUGGGGAACGGAGAAGGAGUGCUCAUGGCUGUGUGGUCAGUGACAGGUGGCAGCAAGGCAGGUCCAGGUCUGAGGGACUCCAGGUUUCUCUAACUCGGGAGAUGCAUCUGAAGAAGAGCUCAAAGACCUGAGACGCAACCUCGCCCAGGCCGAUCCCAGGGCUGUUGACGGCGCCACCACAGAAGGGCCUGAAGCUUAGAAGCCCAUCGGAUGCGUCCAGUACAAAUUGCUCCUCGACAAGACGUAUAACCCAGGCAUCUUCAGCACCUGGUGGAAGGAGAAAAUCUCCAUCAACUUCUUGCUGGGGAAGGAGCACGCCAUCACGCACUCCACGAGCCGGAUGGACAGGGCCACCUUCCACAUGAUGAUGCUCAUUGCUCCCCUGUGCCCCCUGCUCGAGCCCCGCCUCGUCGGGAGGGAUGUGCAGGCUCCCAACCACCCUGGUCCACGAGCUCACGUCACCAUUCUUGCUGCCUGGCACCCUUUUCCACACAGGAUCCACCCAGCACCCCCACUCCAGGGACCCUCUGCCCUUUCCUCCCCCAGGCAGCUGUUGGUGUGGUCACUCCCUAGACAGGGGUUUUAAAUGGGGCCCUGGGGACACUGGGCAGUGCCUGGAGACACCUGUGGAGUCCUGACCCGGGAGGGAGGUGGUCCUGGCAUCGGUUCUGGUGGGGGGCCAGGCUGCUGCUC
rnacentral:lncRNA from 1 species